rnacentral:rRNA from 1 species
AUUGAACGCUGGCGGCAGGCCUAACACAUGCAAGUCGAGCGGAGCGGCGGACGGGUGAGUAAUGCCUAGGAAUCUGCCUGGUAGUGGGGGAUACCGUCCGGAUACGUGCGCUCAUACCGCAUACUCUCAGAUGAGCCUAGGUCGGAUUAGCUCGUUGGGGGGGUAAAGGCCUACCAAGGCGACGAUCAGUAACUGGGCUGAGAGGCUGAUCAGUCACACUGGAACUGAGACACGGGCCAGACGCCUACGGGAGGCAGCAGUGGGGAAUAGUGGACAAUGGGCGAAAGCCUGAUCCAGCCAUGCCGCGUGUGUGAAGAAGGUCUUCGGAUUGUAAAGCACUUUAAGUUGGGAGGCGUUACCAACAGAAUAAGCACCGGCUAACUUCGUGCCAGCAGCCGCGGUAAUUC